CGGGGGUUCUGGAGAGAUUUCUUUCCGGAUGGGGUCCCCAUCGAGUAUGGGUUGUAGUUUGACAGUACCCCACAUGGAUUCAAGUUUGGGGUGGUAGAUGACAACUAGGGAUAUGUGGUCAGAGGGGGGUUUAUUUCUGUAUUGAAGCAGGUACUUUUAGGGUAUUUGGGUGGCCAGUUCCAUGAUGCAGUCUAUUUCAAUGGUGGAGUGUCCUUGUUUGGUGAAGGCAGUUUUGUCUGUGUUACAGUGUUGGGAGCAUUUUCUGUAGAAUCUGAGUACCUGACUGUAGAUAACAGACAACUUCAGGGUGAAUGGUCCCUUGAAAGAUAUGCUAACUACUUAUGCUCUUGUAUUUAGCUCAGACACGCUGGGUCUGGCUACACAGCAAUUUAAGCCUAAGCCCCCUUGCAUCCGCACACCAAUUGUUAAUCUACAGCUCAAACAGGGCUAGAGGUCCCAGGACCCUACAUGGCAGAGGGUC